rnacentral:rRNA from 1 species
GAUGAACGCUAGCUACAGGCUUAACACAUGCAAGUCGAGGGGAAACGAUAUUGGAAGCUUGCUUCUGAUAGGCGUCGACCGGCGCACGGGUGAGUAACGCGUAUCCAACCUGCCCAUCACUUGGGGAUAACCUUGCGAAAGUAAGACUAAUACCCAAUGACGUCUCUAGAAGACAUCUGAAAGAGAUUAAAGAUUUAUCGGUGAUGGAUGGGGAUGCGUCUGAUUAGCUUGUUGGCGGGGUAACGGCCCACCAAGGCGACGAUCAGUAGGGGUUCUGAGAGGAAGGUCCCCCACAUUGGAACUGAGACACGGUCCAAACUCCUACGGGAGGCAGCAGUGAGGAAUAUUGGUCAAUGGACGAGAGUCUGAACCAGCCAAGUAGCGUGCAGGAUGACGGCCCUAUGGGUUGUAAACUGCUUUAUAAGGGAAUAAAGUGAGUCUCGUGAGGCUUUUUGCAUGUACCUUAUGAAUAAGGACCGG